UUACCGAGCAGUGACAGUUCCCUGAUGCAUCGAACCCAACGGCUGACCUGACGAGACCACCUGAGGGGCAUUUGGAUACUCCUUAUCACAUCAUAUAUUGGACACUAAUUAGAAGUAUUAAAUAUAAUUUAAUGAUAAAAUUAAUUACAUAAAUGAGGUUCCUAAUUAGUUCAUGAUUAGUCCAUACGAUGCUGUAGCGGCUGUUAAGCUCAAGCGAGUAGGCAGCAUAUUUCGCUGUCCACAUCUUUAGUUGAUUAUCCAUUUUAAAAGAUUCCCUCUCUAUGCUCC
rnacentral:lncRNA from 1 species